rnacentral:rRNA from 1 species
UACGAAGGGGGCGAGCGUUGUUCGGAAUUACUGGGCGUAAAGGGUGCGUAGGCGGCGCGGUAAGUCGGGUGUGAAAUCUCGGAGCUUAACUCCGAAACUGCAUUCGAUACUGCCGUGCUUGAGGACUGGAGAAGAGACUGGAAUUUACGGUGUAGCGGUGAAAUGCGUAGAUAUCGGGAAGAACACCCGUGGCGAAGGCGGCUCUCUGGGACGGUACUGACGCUGAGACGCGAAAGCGUGGG